rnacentral:misc_RNA from 1 species
UGCCCCUCACUUGCCAAUACGUCUAGAUCAGCCAGGGCGUCGGCAUGUGUAGCGUAUUAUGUUGGGCUCUCUCGAGAUAAGGAUACGAUGUCCCUUUAUCGGUUGGUUUCCUGUGUGCGCGGCCCGUUCGUUUUUUUGUUACUUUCGCAUCGUUCGGUGCAUUCUGGGGGCUGUGUUGGCUUUUGGUGGCUUGCUUGGCCUUUUGGCUUUGCUUGUUGCUACUUGUCGGGCUGCUUUCGGGAAUGUCGACCGUGGAGGUGCAUGAGUGGUGUUUGGUUUGUUACGUGUGGAUGGCUGUUUGCUUGUGCAACAACGUUCACGCUGCAUACCUCUUCAGUUUUGCGGCAAGGCUUGGUUUGGCUUGUGCAUAUUGUGGGUUUCCUGUGUUGCAUACCUAGUUGAUGGAAAAGUGUGGGUUUUACGAUUUUCAUUUUCGUCUUGCGUCGUUCUUUCGGCGUGGGAUGAACAAUGAAGCGAUCUUUAUGAUCCAUCGUGCUGUUGCGUUUGCAACAAUGAUGUGGCCUAUGAAGCAUCGUUUGGUCUCUUGUAUACGGAAGCUCAUUUGGGCUUGGGUCUUUAUAAGAUCUUCGUUACGCCCUUGUUAAGCGUUCUCGCUUCUCCUAAACGAUUG